GGAGGAUCACCGGCCUCUCACAUCACCAGUUAAGGAAGAGAGAACAACACCGGAGAGAUGUCCCAGUGCUCUUCUUCCACAGGAUAAUUCAGAAGAACAUCACUAUGUCCCACAGGAUGAUCAGGUAGAUGGAUAUAAGGGCAUCAUGAUGGAAGAUCACCGGCCCCUCACAUCACCAGAUAAGGAAGAGACAACAACACCAGAGAGAUGUCCCAGUGCUCUACUUCUACAGGAUGGGUCAGAAGAACAUUACAAUGUC